rnacentral:rRNA from 1 species
UACAGAGGGUGCAAGCGUUAAUCGGAAUUACUGGGCGUAAAGCGUGCGUAGACGGUCAUGUAAGUCGGGUGUGAAAGCCCCGGGCUCAACCUGGGAAUUGCAUUCGAGACUGCAUGGCUAGGAUGCGGAAGAGGGAAGCGGAAUUUCCGGUGUAGCGGUGAAAUGCGUAGAUAUCGGAAGGAACACCAGUGGCGAAAGCGGCUUCCUGGUCCAGCAUCGACGUUCAGGCACGAAAAGCGUGGGGGAGCAAACAGG